CUUGUACCUGGGAGGAGGAGGUGGCAGUGAGCUGAGAUCGUGCCACUGCACUCCAGCCUGGGUGACAGAAUGAGACUCCGUCAAAAAAAACAAAAACUAACAAACAAACCCUGAAACUUAACUUGUUCAAAACCAAAUUUAUUACCUUCUCUCAAAAUUGCUUUUUUAUGCUCCCUAUUUCAGAUGAGAUCAGGAGCGUUGAGGGUGGUAUAACCAGAGACUAUGUUCCCUAUUUCAAUUAACACUACCGAUUCACACCAUCAGCCAAGUCAGAAACUUUCUACUAUUCUUCUCAACUUUAUUUUGAAACCUCUUGGAAUUUCGGGCCAUUCCCUCCCGCCUGGAUGAGCACACUCGUUUUCUGCCUACCUGGCCUUUCCGCCUCCACGGUCUUCACUUUCAAUCCUUCCUCUAUAUUUUCACCAAAGAUAAUGCAAUCAUACCAAGCUCCUGCUUACAAAACCUUCAACGGCUCCCCAUGCAUGCAGCAUGAAGUCCAAAUUCCUCAGCAAGUUCUUCUCAGAGGUAUACAAUUUAAAGACUUUUAAAUUACGCAAACCUGGAUUUCGCUUGUAGCGAAAUCUGAACACUGGCUUAGUCCACUCUUCACAGCGAAGAGUAAAAAGCAGAGAGGGGAAAGGAAGGGAGACGAUGACAAGCGAGGAAAGAAGAGGGGGAAGGCAGUAGGGUCUGAGGGGAGGGAAUUGUUUUCCUGGGUAGAGGUGAACGUUUUCGAGGGAAGAGUGUAUCGGAGGGAAGUCAAGUGAAGGAACCCAGAUCUCUGAGGCAGGAGCGGGUAUGCGAGCAGGGAGGCGCUCAGUGGGGAGCUGGAAGUCUCUGAAACAAGAGUUUUCCGAGAAAACGAAAGAUCCCUAAUGCGAGCGAGGACUGAGCAGCCAGAGGGGUGCCUGCGCGG
rnacentral:lncRNA from 10 species